UCCUCUCGCGUCUCUCCACACAGCGUUCAAUCGCGGGAUUCUAGCGUCACUGAAGAACCGAGUCCGGCGCGGCAGGACGUCAACGACAGCGCAACAAUUAUUAGGUAUGAAGACAAGUUUUCAAGGGACCAGACACAUUUUCGAAUGGACUGACUGUUGGCAGCGGAAAUUCUUGAGCCGUACGAUACUAUGAGUCAUCUUCAGUCAUCAUCUUCUAAAAUGAACCGUACGCUAUCAGAAAGCAGACAGGAAAAUGGGGAGAGAGAGAAGGAGAGGAUGAAGAGAAGUGGCCCGAAGGAAUGGAAGAAGCCCCAGAGCAGAACCAGAGGGAGGGAGGGAUAACUGCUGUGACAUGAAAGAGUGAUAGAGCAGAUCACAGAAGACCACAAGACCUUUCAGCUGUGGGGCCAAUAGACCUACGCGCUCCUGGAGCCAGAGGACAAGACCAGGGGCAAGAAGAGACCGUCUGCAUUCAUAUCCACGCCUUUCGUCUCUCUACACAGGGCGCAAUUAUGAAACGGGUUUCAGUCAUUGAAGUAGAAUGUAACAACAACAAAAAAAGUAAUCGAGUGUCUUCUGUGAAACAUUAAAUAGCCAUCCUCUGAUAACCCGGUAGAGAGAGCUGUCUGAAAAGUGACUUGAGAUAUGAGGGAUAAUGGCUGUGUCUUUGUAGUGUCCUUCUUGCUCUCAGAGAGAGAGAGAGAGAGAGCGAGAGGAAAUGAUCGGCCCAGUCGCCCACUGUGCUCAUCUCUCUGAAUCUCCAAGCGUCAGCCUGUCAACCUUGUUCACUAUCAGCCCCCGUUCGCCCCGGUGAACAUUCAACGCUGUCGGUGAGUUUUGAGCUAAAUUGACAAAGACCAUCGACCGUUGAUUGUACCCUGUGGCCAGCCCUUUUCGCUUGAUGAUCGACGCGCAUGGCUACUAACUCAUUAUAACCAGAGAAAGAACACUAUGGUCCCAUCUGCCCCCCACGUCCCACUACCGCACCCCGCCCCCUCCACCCACGCCACACCCCGCCACUACCACACCCCGCUCCCUCCACCCU